rnacentral:lncRNA from 1 species
AUGCAUUUCUUCCCUACAGGGCUGCUGCCGGCGCUGUGUCUGGGAAUCGGCCUGACUUCCCUUCUUCUUUUCCCACUUCUCAUCAUGUAUCUACGAAAAUCAAGACAAGCCGCACCAGCCACUGAGAAUCAGCCCAAGGCUCCGUCGUCUGUUCAAGAUCCGAUCCCUUUGGUUCCUCUGUCCCUGGGUACAGUCGACCCUUGCGAGAUCCAUUUGGAAUUUAUUCCUGACCAUGUUUCCACUGAGCCCUUCUCUGGCAUCGUGUCCAAUCAGAAUCUAAAUCACAAACAGGGAAUCAUGCACUCCAGCAAUCGUCUCAAUUAUGACACCAAAUCGGAUGAAGUGUACUGGGACAGCGGAGGGAUGGAGCUAGGUUGCGGCCUGGACUCUGGCAUCAGCAUCCCACCUGUUUCUCGCUCCUCUGAAGAGACAUGUGGGCCCCUUGGAGACUGAUACUGAAAGGCUGAGAGCUUUCUCUUUGUAAAUGUUGCUCUGUAAGGCUGGAGUUUGCCUCUUUCUCCCUCAGGGAUGAAAUAGGAGACUAAACUGCUCAAAGUAUGGACAAACACAUUAUGAUUAUCUGGAAGCUGAAAACAAGUUGUCUUCAUAGAUUUUGGAAGCUAAACCUUUAAGCAAACAUUGAUGAGAAGGCCCUAAACACAGGAUAAAUGGAAGCCUUAAAAACAACAGUUUCAGAAAACCUUUUCUGCUGAUGAAGACCAAGUGAUAGGACUGAAACCUACAGACUGACUGUUAAAUAGAUAUCUGGGUUCAAAAAUGAACUGUAAUAGGAAACAAUUGUCUUUUCCCCAGUUUGUAAGUACACAUACACAAAAUCUUUAGCUGAAGUCGAGAGCACCUGGUUAGAUUUUUUUUGUCUGCAAAAAAUAAAUCUGCAGAACUGAGUUAAUUACAAUCACAUUAAAAAAGAACGUUUUCACAGGACUGGAUAGAGUCUUAAAAAAUAAGUAUACCCCAUGAUUUGGGUAUCCAGAGGAGUUCAUGGUUCACACAAUGACUCCAAGGUGUCCAGGUCCCGUGGCUGCAAAACAAGUCUAAAUCAUCACCGCUCCACCACCGUGUGUCACAGUGGCUAUGAUGUGUUUGGGUUUUCUCCAAAUGUGGUGCUGUGCUUCAUGGCCACAAUCUCCACUUAGGUCUCAUCUGUCCAAAGAACAUUGUUCCAGAACUUCUGUGGUUUGUUCAGAUGCAACUUUGCAACCUCAGCCGAGCUGCCUUUUUUCCAACAAACUCUCCAAACACACCAAAAAAUGCUCAGUUUUUUUCUUUGUACUGAUAUGAACCAUGCAAUUUAAGUGGCUAACUGAGCCCUGUAGCAUCUGAGAUAUAGCUUACAGGUUUUUGCUGUUUCUCAAAGACUUGCACUGUCUGACCUUGAGGUGAAUUUGCUGGGAUGUAAACUGGGAAGAUUUAGCAAUGCGUUAAAACACAAAUCGGGUAACUGCCAAAACGUCUGCUUGCAUAGAGGCUGUCAGACUUGCUGAUGAUCGGGUAAUCAAGUGCAUUUGAUUAUCACCACCUGGCCGCUACUUACCCUCUUAAUUUCUGUCAAAGCAGUAAAAGAUGUAUUUAGUUUUUCAUAGGACUGCACCGAGCCUGUGAACGCUUUCUUUUCCCAUGACUGCAGACCGCUCCGUACUGCAACUACAAAGACAACAGUUUGAACCAUUAAGAUCUGUUAGCUUAAUAUUUUAACCUUUAUUCAACUACUUCUAGUACAAAAUAACAGUGAUACGUUGUGUUCACCAGUGACCAUUUUUACCCAGUUAUCCAGUUGUGCUAUUAGCUAUUUCGACUGUUAUCCCUGCUAUUAGCUUGCAACUGAAAUGCUAGCCACUGCACUAUUGUGUUUCAAUUGUCUAUCCAUGAUAUCCAGUGGUAUCAUUUUCUUCUCAAAUAUGUCUAACUGUUAGCCAUAUUGCUUUUUAAUGAUCAAUUUCUAUCAUUUGUUCACAUUUUGGAUGUAUAUAUUUACAAAUUAUUACAUGGGCUGACCUCCUGGGAAGAUUGUAGCAACACAUUAACGCACAGUUGUGCUAUCAGCUAUUUCAGCUGUUAUCCUUGUUAUCUUACAAUUCACAUGCAAGCAACUGUAUUUUAACUGUUUAUCCAUUAUGUUUGAUGCAUUACCUUUUGAAAUAUGAUAGCCAGACUGCUUUUAAUUACCCUUUUCUAUCAUUUUGACCAAUAUUUUUUUAAAUAAUUUAUGCAUAUUGCCAUUACUUAGUUUUUUAAUUCUGCUUCUUAUUUUUUUGAAGGGGCGGGGGGGCUGCCAUGCUUGUUCAAGUCCACCCAGUUCUGUAAACCCCCAGCUGCUGUAGAAACAGGCUACGUCCUAAUUGGGAGUUACUGUGAGGCUUAUAAUGGGUCCUCAGCACCCAAUACUUGUCUUCUAUUUUGGUUCUAAUGAACAGACUGGCUGCUGUGUUGGUUGGUCAGGGGUAGCAGGGUUGUCCAAUGAGUUUUCACGAGUUCACACCCCCCAAGGAGCGUCUUUGACGUGGAUAAUGGCUCCCUUAGGUUUGUUUGGGUGCCGCCUGUGCUUAACUCGGACCUCUGAACUUUCCUUCUCAGAUUAGGCAUCACAUUGCAGAGAGACCGAUAAACAGAGGCCACCGGUUUACUGCUCACAUUAUGAUUGUGUUUUGUUGUCAGCUAUGAAGUAAUAGAAAUGUGGCUCCUAAUCUGAAACCUACAAGCAGAUUCCUGUCAGAUAUGAGUCAGUGUUGCAGGAACAGGGUCAGAGAACUGAAUGGUGAGUGAAAUUUAUCAGUCAAGCAAAAAUUGUUUAUCUGGGAGGUCCAAAAGAAGCCGUUUUGUGUGCGUGUGUAAACAUCAACUUACUCGGAGAAUGGUUCUUGUCCCCCCUGCUUUUUGUGCUGAAUUCCAGUCCAAACCAUAGCUUCAUAAACAAGAGCUAGGAAAACUUUAGACCCCCCACAUACUGCCGGCAGCUCUGCCGAUAACAUAGUGUGUUAUUUUUCUGUCAUUCAUUGCUGUAAAAUGUUUCUGACUCACAGUUGCCCCAUCAGAGCUUUGCUGCCUCUAACCCGUGACUCGCACCUCAUCCUGCAUGAAGACAA